GGACAUAUUAUAUAACAAAUUGAAGGUCUUUGUCGCGACCCAAACUGAUGGGCCGCGACAGGCACCCGGUACCUUACUCAACUGAGUACCAACGUAACAUAUUUCUUCUUAUUACAUCAUCAUGGGUAAAUGGGCCAGGAGAGCCGUAUGAGGUAAUGAGAAUAAAACAUGAGAGAACACUUGAUAUAAAAUGACUUAACCUGAUAUACUGACUUAUACAUAUGACGUACAGGCCUAUAAGGCCAAAAUAAUCACACGUACACUGAACAUAGGCCGACAAGGCCAUAUAAUCUUUCAUAUACAUGACAUAUGUCUACAAACCUCUAAGAGUACAUAAACAUCAUAAGGCCGGGAUAGAGCCCUGACAUACCAAUCAAUAUAUGUCUAAAUCUUACUAACCAAACAAGCAACUCCGGAGCAAAUGGAGUGCACCAACAUCUUCCGCUGAGCUGAUAGCCUACUUGGAGGACUCUCGACUUGUCUAUCGGGACCUGCGGGCAUGAAACGCAGUGUCCCCAGGCAAAAGGGACGUCAGUACGGAUAAUGUACCGAGUAUGUAAGGCACAUAAAUAAGUACAUAAACAACAUGAAAGAAAUAUAGAGUAAAUGACUCAACCUAUGUUUGGAUAACUCUGUAAAUCAUGAGAUAAUUAUAGUGCAAUGCAUAUGCGUNNNNNNNNNNNNNNNUUGAAUAAUAUCAUGAAGUAAACUUUUUUAACUUACAUAUUUUUUUGAGACCCAUGAACAAAUUAUAGAAUAAUAUAACACAUGGAGAAUCAAGAACAUAAGCAUCUCUAGCAUUUCUAUGAAUAUAGUCAUUUAUAAAAAUUUUGCAUUUGCUUGUUUCGUUUGUGUUGUAUAGAUCAGGCCAAAAGAAAGAAGGGAUAGUCUUAACAUACCUGAACCGAUUCUCUUGACAAUUCCUCUAACACACAUCUUUUGCGACGAACCACGUAACGACGGAUCGAAGUAGGGAAAAAUUCAUAUAAUAUUCUUGGGAAAAAUUAUACCGUGCUCCCUUAAAUUCGCAAACCUCACGCUUUAUCGCAUUAUGAAGUUCAACCGAAUUACGUUGGAGGUUUUAUCCGUAUGAAAUGUCUUAGCAGUUAAGAUACGAAAGUAUCUUAUCUUUGAAGUUUCAAUCC
rnacentral:lncRNA from 1 species